rnacentral:rRNA from 1 species
CCUACGGGUGGCAGCAGUAGGGAAUAUUGCUCAAUGGGGGAAACCCUGAAGCAGCAACGCCGCGUGGAGGAUGGAGGUUUUCGGAUGGUAAACUCCUUUUGUUAGAGAAGAUAAUUACGGUCUCGAACGAAUAAGCAACUGCCAACUCCAUGCCAGCAGCCGCGGUAAUACGGAGGGUGCAAGCGUUACUCGGAAGCACUGGGCUUAAGGGGCGCGUAGGCGGGAGAGCAAGUCAGAUGUGAAAUCCUAUGGCUUACCCAUAGAACUGCCUUUGAAACUGUGAUUCUAGCGUAUGGGAGAGGUAGGUGGAAUCCUUGGUGUAGGGGUAAAAUCCGUAGAGAUCAAGCGGAAUACUCAUUGCGAAGGCGACCUGCUAGAACAUAACUGACGCUGAUGCGCGAAAGCGUGGGGAGCAAACAGGAUUAGAUACCCCAGUAGUC